AGGAAAAUAGAGUGUUCCCCUGAAAAUGGCCCUGAAGCGCGCACACACCGCCCGUCACUCUCCCCAAUAAAGCAAACUCUUAAAUAAAAAGCAAGCGCAACAAAGGGGAGGUAAGUCGUAACAUGGUAAGUGUACCGGAAGGUGCACUUGGAAAAC
rnacentral:rRNA from 1 species